AAAAUUGAAUCACUUUAAAAAUCAGUCCUGGCUUGACAGUAUUGUUAUAGUUAAUACUAAAGUUAAAAUGCAAACAGGAAUGAAUUCUACAAUAAUAAGGUAGUAUACGUCUCCCUGUUUAUUUCCAACUUAGUCACUAUUUACAGUUAAACUCUCCUGCUGUUUUAAAUUUAGAGAUUCCAUUUCUAUUCUAAGACUCCCCACUUCAAUACUCUGAAAAUGUUAACUAUUACCAUUAACUGUUUUAAUCUUACAUAAACAAGUAAAUAAGAGAGUGGACUCCAGAGGUGGACUGCUGAGGUUCUAAUCCCAGCUCCCUAAUUAUUAUCUUAUGUGACCUUGGGCAAGAGUCUUAGUCCCUCUCUCCAUCAAUUUUCUCAUCUGUAAAAAUAGCCAUAAUAAGACUCCCUGCUCCUAUGAUGGCUGCACGGUAUGAGUUAAUGUUUGUAAAACUAUUACAACUAUAAGUGCUAUAUAAGAUCAGUGGGAAGUAGAAAAAAAAAAUAAACAAAACUUCACAUGCUCUUUUCACUAAAGUAGGAAAAAAUGAAGAAAAACACCGGCCCUGUGCCCUUCUUGGAACCUCCCACUGGAACUAGAACCCUAUAGUCCCAGCUCCAAGAGUGUGGUGUGUUCAUUCAUUCGAUAAUUUAAAGGCCUACUACUGUUAUGAACUAUCAGACACAUGCUCUGUCCUCAAACGGCUUAGUCAGGUUAGAGAUCAGAAUUCGAACCCAUUUUUUUACAGAUGAGAAAACUGAGGUUACAGAGAAGUUGUGCCUUGCUCAAGAUUACACCGCUAACUAGCACCAGAAGUGAGACCAGAAGCUUUGUCUUUCCACGACUUUUAGUUCAGAACUUUUUCCAAUGGGCCACCCACCCUUGUGGGCCGCGUCUGUUUUUAUUUGGGAUUCUGCCUAGUUUUCAUGACCUUCCCUUCUUUGCAACGCCCCCCCUCACCAAAACCUGUAAACUAGAGUUUAGACAACAGUGAGCCCUGCAGAGAAAGUCACACACUGAGCGCUUUGAACCUUCCCCUGCAAGAAAAGGAAAUGUUACUCUUUACAUCCUUCAUUAACUCAUCCCAUGCCAAAAAGGUUGAGGUCGUUAAAAAAAAUUUAAAAGGGCAGAGGGUCUCACCCAGGACGGAAAGGGUGGAGUCCCCGCCCCCUAGUGCAGCAACGCAGACAGAUGGGAGCCACCUGUCAGAGGGCUGUGGGCGGGGGCCUGGGCCGCGACGGCCGCGAGACCCGAGGAUGUGUGCUGCUGAGCGCACGCUCAGAGCAGACAGCUAGCAGGAGACAGGAGGUGAUCGUCUAAGACCCUGGAAGCUGACGGCAAGAGGGAAGGAAAGGUAGUCACCAAGGCAAAGCAGAACUACGGGAGGUGGAGGAUCCUGGAAGUGAAAGCAAGGAGAGUACGCAACUGCGAGGGGCGGUUGAAGCGGGCCGGCGGCUUCUGCGUGGACGCAGGCGAGUGGGCCAUUCGGAGCGAGGUCACAGAGGCGGCGCUGCGGGCGGGCCCUGCCGGGGCGGGGGAUGCCAUGUCUCGAGAGCGGCCCCCCCGCACCGACAUCCCCCGCAACCUGAGUUUCAUCGCCGCGCUGACUGAGCGCGCCUACUACCGCAGCCUGCGGCCCAGCCUCGAGGAGGAGCCGGAGGAGGAGCCAGGCGAGGGCGGGACGCGCCUCGGGGCCAGAUCGCGCGCUCACAUUCCGAGUCGGGGCCGCCGGGCUCGCUCCGCACCCGCCGGAGGCGGCGGUGCCCGGGCGCCUCGCAGCCGCAGCCCCGAUACCCGUAAAAGAGUGCGUUUCGCCGACGCGUUGGGGCUGGAGCUGGCCGCCGUGCGCCGCUUCCGCCCUGGAGAGCUGCCCCGGGUGCCCCGCCACGUGCAGAUCCAGCUGCAGAGGGACGCCCUCCGCCACUUCGCGCCGUGCCAGCCCCGCGCCCGCGGCCUCCAGGAGGCGCGCGCCGCCCUGGAGCCGGCCAGCGAGCCCGGCUUCGCCGCCCGCUUGCAGGCGCAGCGUAUCUGCCUGGAACGCGCCGAGGCGGGCCCGCUGGGCGUGGCCGGGAGCGCGCGCGUGCUGGACCUGGCCUACGAGAAGCGCGUGAGCGUGCGCUGGAGCGCCGACGGGUGGCGGAGCCAACGCGAGGCGCCCGCGGCCUACGCCGGCCCGGCUCCGCCCCCUCCACGCGCGGACCGCUUCGCCUUUCGCCUGCCCGCGCCGCCCGUUGGGGGCGCCCUGCUUUUCGCCUUGCGCUACCGCGUGACAGGCCACGAGUUCUGGGACAACAACGGCGGCCGUGACUAUGCUCUACGUGGGCCCGAGCACCCGGGCAGUAUUGGAACCCCGGAGCCUCAGGGCUGGAUUCACUUUAUCUGAGACGCCUGCGGCCGACGGUGAAAAAACCAAAGGCACCUGGGGGCUAGGGGUGCCCAAAGAUUUGGCGGGCUGCUGUCCGAGAGAGUCAAGUGCGGGAGACAUCAAAGGGGUUUGGGGAGUGGGUGGAAUCAGCGAAGGUCGGGGAGAUAGGGGUGGAAAACACCGAUUAGAUGUGAGUAGACGGAACCCAAGGUACCGGAGAAAGGAGACCCGAAAGGGCGCUAGGAGGAUUCGAAAAAAGCGAAAACUAAGGAGUAUGGUGACGUUCUCUUCCGUGAGCAGGCACUGGGAGAAAGUUCGGCGGGCCUAGGCAGUGGAAGGUUAGGGCAGCCCUCUGGGGCUGAGCUGGUGUGUUGCGUGAAGUAGCAGCCCCCUCAGUUGAAGUCAUUUAGAUUGCUGGCUCUUUCCCUUAUCUACCUUUGCCAUCUCAGGUCCCCCAACCCUGUCCAUCCUAGCUUUAACUCAGCUAUAGUUGCCUUGCUGAAAUCCCAGAAACUGGCCAUUGCUCCCCAAUCCCUGGCAUUAUGACAGGAUUCCCUUGUCACCCCUGACAGUCCCUGGCUUGGGUAUUGGAGAACUGGAUGGGGAGUGAUGGGAGAUAGUAGUCAGAGCUCCCUCCUCCAGCCUCUUUGCAGCCCUGGGGGUGUGUAAAUGAAGACAAAACCAACUCCAGACUUGUGCUUGUAGCCAAAUAACGCGGCGGCUAAUGGGUUGCUACACUCAGGGGCUUCCAGAAAAAUGCCAGCCUUAUUGUUCUGGGUGCCUUCUAAUGACCUCUAAGCACUUUAUGGACUGUAUUUAUCAACGGACUGUGAAUCACAAGAAUCACUAUUCUGAUUCUGCUCAAGACUAGGAAGUCACUGACUAGCUGUAUAAUUUUGGGCAAGUUCCUUCACCUUCCUGGGCCCCCGUUUCCUCCUGGGUAAAUUGGAUUUGGUUUAGGUGAUCUCUUUUGGCCCUUUCUUGCUUUGACAUUUUAUGAUCUGUGAGUAGCAGAGUGUAGAUUAGAAGCCACGUUCUCCACCCUACAGUUGGAGUGCUACAGUUCAGAAUGCACAGCACCCCGAGUGUUUGGUUGGGGCUGAGGAUGGGUCCUCCAGUUUUUGACACAAAUGUUCCAAGGCCAGGAAGCCUCCCCAAACCAGCCUGCAGCUUCUGGGUAUUAAGGCUUCUUUCAAACCACAGCUCAUCCUCUGCCUCUUGCUUUUUGCUCUGGCCCUCACAGACUUCCAGCCUGGAUGCUCUGAGACAGCUUUUGGAAGGUCUCUUGGGGGAAAUGAUGAUUGGGAGUCCCAAAGAUGAAAGGAAAUAAUGUUGGGGAACUUGUGAGGAUAUGGGAUUACGUGUAUAAGAAAUAGAAAGCACUUCAAGAAUCAAAACAACUUGAAAAUUAAAUGGCACCAGAAGAUGGCAGUGUGCUCCAUAUCCUGAGCAAGUGAAAUGGGAAAGCUGGACUCUUACCCCUACACAUUCAUGCCAUAUGUCUCUCCUGGUUAACCUCUGCUAGUUGUUGGGGUUUUCCCCCCCCCUCUUACCCUAUUCCUAAGCUCUGCUUUUCUCUUGUCCCUCUCUUUUCACUUCCAUUUUUCUUUUAGCAUAAUAGAGUACUUACCUUCAUUUUCUCUAUUUCCAAUUGCUUCCUUCUCAUUUUUGUUGAUCUGUGCUAUUCCUUGUCCCUCCAGAAGGGGUGGAGAACCUACUUGCUUUUCUCCAAGACCAUGGUAGAUCCACCUUCCUCCUUCAGGCUCCUCCUUAACAGUCUUCUAGAAGGGAGAAGAGGGAAAAGAAGCAGUUCCUGAUGCAAAUGAACAAGGAGCUCCCAGCUAUCUCUGAAGGGCACAAAUCAGAAAGCAUCAUGCCUCCUAAUAAAGAGGCCAGCAGUCUUAAUACCUCCCCUGCGGGGCUCAUCUGCCUCCCUCCAAUCUCCGAGGAGCUCCAGCUUGUGUGGACCCAAGCAGCCCAGACCAGUGAGCUGGAUGGCAAUGAACACCUGCUACAAACCUUCAGCUACUUUCCCUAUCCCAGUCUAGCAGACAUUGCCCUUCUCUGCCUACGCUAUGGGCUGCAGAUGGAGAAAGUCAAGACUUGGUUCAUGGCCCAGCGCCUCCGCUGUGGCAUUAGCUGGUCAUCUGAAGAAAUAGAAGAGACUCGAGCCCGGGUGGUCUAUCACAGGGACCAACUCCAUUUCAAAUCCCUUCUCUCUUUUACUCAUCAUGCAGGGCGGCCCCCAGAGGAGGUGCCUCCUUCUCCAGUGCCGCCUCCAGAACAAGUUAGUCUUGGAAUAGUGCCCUUGACUCUUACUGAGCCCAUCCAGGUGAAAGGAUUGAAGGUAGAGCCCAAGGAAUCCCCAGAGCCAUUGAGUCACCACAAAGCAAAGGAGCCCCUGAUGGCGCCUGGCAGUGGGGCAUUCUCCCACCAAUCAGAAUUUUGGCAGGAUCUUCAAAGCAGUGGCUUCUCUAAGGAGCAGGCAGGCAGGUGUCCUGGCCAGUCACAUGGCCUAGGUACUGCUUCCUGGAACCACUCCACAGCUGCCCACCAGCCACGUACUCGGGAUAAGCCCCCGCCAAUCUCAUUACUUGCCAGUAGUUGUAAGCCGGGGUCAGCGUCUAAUGUGACUCCUUCUUCCUCUACCUCUUCUUCCUCUUUCCAGGUACUGGCUAAUGGAGCUACAGCCACCUCUAAACCCAUCCAGCCACUGGGCUGUAUCCCACAGCCACUGUCACCCACUGAACAGGCACUACCCUCAUAUGUGGAGCCAGUCUCGCCCCAGAGGCUAAGGCAUAACUCAGUACUAGGUAGGGUUGGGCCUGCAGAGUACCUUUCCCCAGAUACACGCCAGCGAAAGACCAAGCGCAAAACCAAAGAGCAGCUGGCUAUCCUCAAAUCGUUUUUUUUUACAGUGCCAAUGGGCACGGCGUGAGGAUUACCAUAAAUUAGAACAGAUCACUGGUUUACCCCGGCCUGAGAUCAUUCAGUGGUUUGGUGACACACGCUAUGCCUUGAAGCAUGGGCAACUAAAAUGGUUUCGGGACAAUGCAGUACCUGGUACCCCUAGUUUCCAGGACCCAGCAAUGCCCACACCACCGCCUUCAACCCGCUCCUUGAAUGAAUGGGCUGAGACACCACCUCUGCCGAUACCCCCACCUGCACCAGAUAUACGUCCCUUGGAGAAGUACUGGGCGGCCCACCAACAGCUCUGGGAAAGUGACAUCCCUCAACUGAGUCAGGCAUCAAGGCUUAGCACCCAGCAGGUCCUGGAUUGGUUUGAUUCUCGAUUACCUGAGCCAGCUGAGGUGGUGGUUUGUCUAGACGAAGAAGAGGAAGAGGAGGAGGAAGAACUGCCAGAUGAUGAGGAUGAAGAGGAGGAGGAGGAGGAAGAUGACAGCGAUGAAGAUGUGAUCAUACAGGACUGAACGGGGGGGCUAUGGGAGGGGAGGUCUGUUACUAAAAGAUGAACCAACUUAGUAACUGUUUAAACAAACCACAUUUUAAAAAUUACCUUGUGGCAAAGAACUUGAAAAGCUUUGUGUUCUUGAGGUUGGGGGACAGGGAUGUAGCAAUGGUGGACCAGGGAGGACGAGUGUAGGGGCACAAAGUGAGGCAGGGAACUGAAUGGGCAGAAAUGCAGACCUCCAGCCUCAGUGAAGAGAGUGCUAAGGAUCUGGUCCAAAUUGGGGGCUGGGUAAAGGCUCUUGCUGUCCUCAUAUCUGCUGUCCUUUUCCCUUAGUGUGCUACAGAGAGGCCAUAUCCAUAGGAGGAUUGGAAAGCAGGAGUAAAGAAUUCUGAUUUAACUGAUGAUUUCAGUGUAUCCCCUAGUCCCACUUUUCGCUGGAAUAUAAGGCUGCCUUGCACCCCUCCUUUCCUCUCUCAGCACAAGUCCAUGCAUGAUGCAGCUAAGAAUAUCAGUCUGCCACAGUCUCACAAAUAUUUCCUCUUCCUCAUACCACCUUGACUUGAUAUAUUUUACCUGCUUCAUGACUGAGUUACACAGGAAGCAGAAUGUUUUCAUUUCUGAUACUGGGACCACUUUGCCUUGUACCUUUUUCUCUUUCCAAAAUUCCCAUUCUGUUCACUAUGUCUCAGGGUAAAUCUUCCCCCACGGAGCUUGUGAAAAAGUUUAAUAACUGGGUGGAGAAUAAUUUAGACUGGAUAUUUAUUGGAGGUGGGAAUUAGGGGAGAUGUCCUUUUAAAAAAAGUAGAAUUAGGUUACAGAGGGAUAGAGGAGAUGGAAUGGUUUCUACUGUUCAGAGGACUGCAGGUAGGCUCCAGGUUUGGUUUUACAAGCCUGACACUCCCUCCUGCCUAGCUUGACAGAUUUUUCAUCUUUUUGGUGUUGGUUCAAUUUGUAUCCAGAAGAGAGACCUCUCUAUAGCAUCUGUCUUGAGGACAGAGGGACCAGGUCUUGAACUGAAUUUAUUGAUGUUUUAGAAUGGUUUUCAUCGGGGUCAGAUAUAAAGAUAUCAAUGGGUUACCCAUCUAGACACAAGAGUGGAAGCACCAAAUUGCUAAAAUAAUAAUAAAAAGGCCAAAAACAAAAUUGUUUCUCCUCCACUUUGCCACUUCUAUGGUUUAGAGAUUAAUGGAGCCAGAUCCAUUAACAUUCUGAUCUAGUACUUUUAUUUUUGAAGCCUUGGGAUAUAUUGAGACAAACUAGAGGCACACAAUCUUUGAAAGGCAGUAGAUCAGUAUCUCUCACUAUGCAGAUUGUUUCCUGCACCUGCUACAGCACAUGCUCUUGCUCAGAAUAGGUGUGUCUAGAAAUGCCUUUAAAAAUAAAUUCAGAGUUCCAGAAAGGGUAAUGAGUUCAGCUACGAGGUCAUUCCCAAGACCUAAUUUAUUUCUGGCAGAUGCUUGCUCUCUUUACAUUUUCCUAAUAUUUUUGCUUAAGGUCUGCCUGCCAGUGGUCCACUCAUUUAAUUUCUCAUUUCUACCCCUUAGUAGCCAAAGAAGAAUAAAUACUUGAUCUCAGCGGCAGUGUUCUUUGCCCCUCCCACCAUUCUAGAGCUUGUAACACCAGUAGAGCUGCAGUGGCAAUAAAAGGGCAUCUUUUAUUACUUA